UACGAAGGGUGCAAGCGUUAAUCGGAAUUACUGGGCGUAAAGGGUGCGUAGGCGGUUGUUUAAGUCUGUCGUGAAAUCCCCGGGCUCAACCUGGGAAUGGCGAUGGAUACUGGGCAGCUAGAGUGUGUCAGAGGAUGGUGGAAUUCCCGGUGUAGCGGUGAAAUGCGUAGAGAUCGGGAGGAACAUCAGUGGCGAAGGCGGCCAUCUGGGACAACACUGACGCUGAAGCACGAAAGCGUGGGGGAGCAAACAGG
rnacentral:rRNA from 1 species